rnacentral:rRNA from 1 species
AUGUCUUCCUCCAGCUCAACUCUCUCCUCCGCUGGCCUAAACAACACCAUCUCAGAACCCCUGACUCGCACGAACUAUGUUCUGUGGCGAGCUCAAGCCCGACCUCAGAUUAUAGGAGCGGGCCUCCUAGGAUACCUAGAUCAAACAAUCCCAGAACCACCAGCCACCAUCACCUCAAAGAAUGCUGAAGGCAAAGAUCAGAUCGUUCCAAACCCAGCCUACUCCGCCUGGUUGAUCCAGGAUCAACAGCUUGUAGCCUAUCUCCUUCGCAAUCUCUCGAAAGAAGGUCUGGAGCAAGUCGCCUCCUUAGAAAAAUCCCACGCCAUCUGGACUGCUCUCGCAAACAUGUUUGCU